rnacentral:rRNA from 1 species
GAUGAACGCUGGCGGCGUGCCUAAUACAUGCAAGUCGAGCGAACGGACGAGAAGCUUGCUUCUCUGAUGUUAGCGGCGGACGGGUGAGUAACACGUGGAUAACCUACCUAUAAGACUGGGAUAACUUCGGGAAACCGGAGCUAAUACCGGAUAAUAUUUUGAACCGCAUGGUUCAAAAGUGAAAGACGGUCUUGCUGUCACUUAUAGAUGGAUCCGCGCUGCAUUAGCUAGUUGGUAAGGUAACGGCUUACCAAGGCAACGAUGCAUAGCCGACCUGAGAGGGUGAUCGGCCACACUGGAACUGAGACACGGUCCAGACUCCUACGGGAGGCAGCAGUAGGGAAUCUUCCGCAAUGGGCGAAAGCCUGACGGAGCAACGCCGCGUGAGUGAUGAAGGUCUUCGGAUCGUAAAACUCUGUUAUUAGGGAAGAACAUAUGUGUAAGUAACUGUGCACAUCUUGACGGUACCUAAUCAGAAAGCCACGGCUAACUACGUGCCAGCAGCCGCGGUAAUACGUAGGUGGCAAGCGUUAUCCGGAAUUAUUGGGCGUAAAGCGCGCGUAGGCGGUUUUUUAAGUCUGAUGUGAAAGCCCACGGCUCAACCGUGGAGGGUCAUUGGAAACUGGAAAACUUGAGUGCAGAAGAGGAAAGUGGAAUUCCAUGUGUAGCGGUGAAAUGCGCAGAGAUAUGGAGGAACACCAGUGGCGAAGGCGACUUUCUGGUCUGUAACUGACGCUGAUGUGCGAAAGCGUGGGGAUCAAACAGGAUUAGAUACCCUGGUAGUCCACGCCGUAAACGAUGAGUGCUAAGUGUUAGGGGGUUUCCGCCCCUUAGUGCUGCAGCUAACGCAUUAAGCACUCCGCCUGGGGAGUACGACCGCAAGGUUGAAACUCAAAGGAAUUGACGGGGACCCGCACAAGCGGUGGAGCAUGUGGUUUAAUUCGAAGCAACGCGAAGAACCUUACCAAAUCUUGACAUCCUUUGACAACUCUAGAGAUAGAGCCUUCCCCUUCGGGGGACAAAGUGACAGGUGGUGCAUGGUUGUCGUCAGCUCGUGUCGUGAGAUGUUGGGUUAAGUCCCGCAACGAGCGCAACCCUUAAGCUUAGUUGCCAUCAUUAAGUUGGGCACUCUAAGUUGACUGCCGGUGACAAACCGGAGGAAGGUGGGGAUGACGUCAAAUCAUCAUGCCCCUUAUGAUUUGGGCUACACACGUGCUACAAUGGACAAUACAAAGGGCAGCGAAACCGCGAGGUCAAGCAAAUCCCAUAAAGUUGUUCUCAGUUCGGAUUGUAGUCUGCAACUCGACUACAUGAAACUGGAAUCGCUAGUAAUCGUAGAUCAGCAUGCUACGGUGAAUACGUUCCCGGGUCU